AUAUGGGUAUUGGUAGCAGUUCACGGUAGCACGAAUUCACGAAGUGCUACUAAAAGUUUGAAAAUCCGAAACCAGACCUUUUAGUAGCGUUAACUAAGCGCUGGCGAAAAAUUUCAUUAACCCGGGAAAUAAAAUGAAUAAAAAAUACAUUGAUUUCGGUUAAGUGUCGGUAUAGAAAGUAAUUUGGGCAAAGGACUUGGUUAUUUUUUUUACGUUUUCUUCGUCUCCUUCACUCCGAAACCAUCGACGACGCAUGCAAAAGUUCAAGGACUCGAUCUCUCCGAUAUUUCACGAAGAUCUUCUGCCUGUGGUGUUCUCGUCACCGGCGGUCAGAUUCCAGCUUUGAGGCGAUGAAGAUUUGGAGGAGACAAGUCAGGUUUGAGCUUUUGAUUGUUCCUUUCUGGAGUGAAGUCGAGUUGAAGACAGAAACAGAUCUUAUUGAGGUGAUUCUUUUCGACUAUUUCUAUGUUCAUGUGUUUGAAUUGUUUGGUGACUGAUUGUUGAUUGUUGAUUGACAAUGUGUGUGUUUGGUGUUUGACAUAAUCUUAUGUUGUGUGGUGUUUGUUUUGAUUUUUUUGGUUAUCGGUUAGAAACUUUAGAACAUAGAAAUGAUCGAAAAGACAUGGGUGUGAGGGAUUAAACUCACCUCCUGAUUUUAGGUCAGGUUAAGAUUUAGGAAAAAGUUAGGGAAAGAUAACGUGGG